GGAUGUGAGGUAUAUCUGGCUGUGGCAGCUGUCACCCCACUGAUAGCCAGGGUUCAUUUGGCUGAUCUGGCUGGCUAGGUGGGUGUCCCCCUCCACCCUCAUGUUCCAUGUGCAUCCUUCCAGAAGCUGUGUGCUCAAAGAGGAUGGCUUCCCCAAUAGAGAUAGACCAAGUCUUUGGUUGAGGAUGUACAAGUAGUUGUGCUUCCCCGCUAGAACCUCCAAACAGGCUCUCAAGAAAGUCAUUUAUAGGGAGUGUUAGGGUCCAUAUGAAGAAUGGCCAAU
rnacentral:snRNA from 1 species